rnacentral:rRNA from 1 species
GCGCGCGCAGGUGGUUUCUUAAGUCGGAUGUGCCCGCCCCCCCCUCAUCCGGGGAGGGUCAUUGGAAACUGGGUUACUUGAGUGCACAAAAGGAAAGUGUCAAUUCCAUGUGUAGCGGUGAAAUGCGUAGAGAUAUGGAGGAACACCAGUGGCGAAGGCUACUUUCUGGUCUGUAACUGACACUGAGGCGCGAAAGCGUGGGGAGCAAACAGGAUUAGAUACCCUGGUACUCCACGCCGUAAACGAUGAGUGCUAAGUGUUAGAGGGUUUCCGCCCUUUAGUGCUG